rnacentral:lncRNA from 1 species
GGCCGGUCACCGUCGUGUCAUCCGCCGUGCCGGCCGUACGGUGGCCGAAAAUCGCCCGUGGGUAGAUUUUUCUCCUUUUCUUAUAUUUUUAUUUAUUUAAUAUAUGCGUUGUUUUAUUAAAAAUGGGGAUAAUAUAUGUGAAUAAAUUCAAAAAGAAAAAAAAAGAAAGAAAAUAGACCUUAGAUUUGCUGUUUUCGAUUCUCCGGUCUCUAAUAUGGGGCUAUUCCCUGCUUUUGAUGUUGCUAAAGUCUCUGUUUUUUUUUCUUGAAAUCGAAUGUUGUUCGCUUUUUAUUUUCAAAAGAAUGCCCCCUACAAUGGUUUUUGAUUUGGCUUUUAAAUAGCCAUUACAUUUCUUUUUCUUUUAAUAUUUGUCUAUUCUUCUGUUGUUGCUGCAGGCAAACGGUGGUGGAGUAGAGGCCACUUGCAGGCGUCGGUGGUGGAUGGGGUGGGGAGCAUGUGCUGACGGCUAGGGUUUCCUUAGCCUUUUCUUUUGUUGUGUGUGUGGGCAUGGGUAGGUUUGGGGCUAUUGGCUUAGUGGGUUUAGGGGUUUUGGGCCCAAAAUUGGGCUUGUACAUGUAUCAGUUGUUAUAUUAAGCAUUUAUUUAAAGUUUAAAUACAAACUAUUUAAUAUGGGUUCAAAUUCAAGCGCACUUCGGUGUAUUCCUCUGUCGAUUUAAGGAUUUGAGAGAUUAUGAGUAAAAAUAGGUACUGUAUCAAAAAAAUUUCGACUCUUCAAACAAAAU